AGAGUUUGAUCCUGGCUCAGAGUGAACGCUGGGGUGAGCUUAACACAUGCAAGUCGAACGAUGAAGCUUUAGCUUGCUAGAGUGGAUUAGUGGCGCACGGGUGAGGAAUAUAUAGCUAAUGUGCCCCUUAGAGGGGGAUAACAGUUGGAAACGACUGCUAAUACCCCAUACUCCUUCUUACUAUAAGGUAAGUUGGGAAAGUUUUUUCGCUAAGGGAUCGGGCUAUACGGUAUCAGCUUGUUGGUGAGGUAAUGGCUCACCAAGGCUAUGACGCCUAUCUGGUCUGAGAGGAUGAUCAGACACACUGGAACUGAGACACGGUCCAGACUCCUACGGGAGGCAGCAGUGGGGAAUAUUACACAAUGGAGGAAACUCUGAUGUAGCAACGCCGCGUGGAGGAUGACACAUUUCGGUGCGUAAACUCCUUUUAUAUGGGAAGAUAAUGACGGUACCAUAUGAAUAAGCACCGGCUAACUCCGUGCCAGCAGCCGCGGUAAUACGGAGGGUGCAAGCGUUACUCGGAAUCACUGGGCGUAAAGCGCGCGCAGGCGGCCCGUUAAGUUGGAUGUGAAAUCCUAUGGCUCAACCAUAGAACUGCAUCCAAAACUGAUGGGCUAGAGUCUGGGAGGGGAAG
rnacentral:rRNA from 1 species